rnacentral:rRNA from 1 species
GACGAACGCUGGCGGCAUGCCUAAUACAUGCAAGUCGAGCGGAGUUGAUAGAAAGCUUGCUUUCUUGAUACUUAGCGGCGGACGGGUGAGUAACACGUAGGCAACCUGCCCUCAAGCUUGGGACAACUACCGGAAACGGUAGCUAAUACCGAAUACUUGUUUUCUUUGCCUGAAGGAAACUGGAAAGACGGAGCAAUCUGUCACUUGGGGAUGGGCCUGCGGCGCAUUAGCUAGUUGGUGAGGUAACGGCUCACCAAGGCGACGAUGCGUAGCCGACCUGAGAGGGUGAUCGGCCACACUGGGACUGAGACACGGCCCAGACUCCUACGGGAGUCAGCAGUAGGGAAUCUUCCGCAAUGGGUGAAAGCCUGACGGAGCAAUGCCGCGUGAGUGAUGAAGGUUUUCGGAUCGUAAAGCUCUGUUGCCAGGGAAGAACGCUUGGGAGAGUAACUGCUCCCAAGGUGACGGUACCUGAGAAGAAAGCCCCGGCUAACUACGUGCCAGCCGCCGCAGUAA